rnacentral:misc_RNA from 1 species
AAAAAAAAAAAAAAAAAAUUCCUAUAGUUGAUACCAACUAGUUUGAGUUUUAGGCUUACUUGUCGUUGUCAUUGUAUCGUAGUUAAGCUUGAAUUGUUGUGCAAAACUAUUCAAGCAAUUUGAAUUUUAAUUCUUGUGUAGGUCAAUUUGUGAUUAUUGUUGGAAUUAUUGUCAAGAAAAACAAUUCCUUAAAUAUGUUUUGUCUUUGCAUUUAUUUGAAUUUACUGAAAAUUUAUUAGUAAUGUAUAAGAUUAUGAAUGAUAACAUUUGCUAGAGAAUGAAUGUAGCACAUAUAGGAAAUAAAUUGAGAGAGGUUCAUUUAAGAUGAUUUGAUUACGGACAACGUAGAGAAUCAAAUGUUGUGAUAAGUUAGUAGGGGAAGGAAUGAGAAGGAAAGGGAAUGGAAAGGUCUAAAGAUGAUGUGGAGGAGAAUAGUAUCACAU